GGGUGAACUUAGAGCCCUCUGGCGAAGCAGUGUUAAUAGUUGUGCCCUUGGCCGAGCACCACGGUUAGUGAAUC
rnacentral:ncRNA from 1 species